rnacentral:rRNA from 1 species
AUUGAACGCUGGCGGCAUGCCUUACACAUGCAAGUCGAACGGUAACAGGUCUUCGGAUGCUGACGAGUGGCGAACGGGUGAGUAAUACAUCGGAACGUGCCUAGUAGUGGGGGAUAACUACUCGAAAGAGUGGCUAAUACCGCAUGAGAUCUACGGAUGAAAGCAGGGGAUCGCAAGCCCUUGUGCUACUAGAGCGGCCGAUGGCAGAUUAGGUAGUUGGUGGGAUAAAAGCUUACCAAGCCGACGAUCUGUAGCUGGUCUGAGAGGACGAUCAGCCACACUGGGACUGAGACACGGCCCAGACUCCUACGGGAGGCAGCAGUGGGGAAUUUUGGACAAUGGGCGAAAGCCUGAUCCAGCAAUGCCGCGUGCAGGAUGAAGGCCUUCGGGUUGUAAACUGCUUUUGUACGGAACGAAAAGCCCCGGGUAAAUACCCUGGGGUCAUGACGGUACCGUAAGAAUAAGCACCGGCUAACUACGUGCCAGCAGCCGCGGUAA